GAUUUUGUUACGGUCUAUAUUUUUCUUCACGGUUUUUGACUAUGGAAUUUAUUGAAUUUAUACCAGUCACGAGAUUUUGUUAUAUUGAGAAAUCAAGUACAAGAAACCGAAAUACUCAAGGCCUAGAUGGUGCCAGCAGCCGCGGUCAUACCAUCUUGAGUAGAAAAAAAUAUAAGUGAAAGCAACUAAAAUAAAUAUAUUACUAUUGGUGAAAUAUGUUUUAUAUGGUUACUAAUAUAAGUUUGUAAUUAACACAAAUAUUGCUUACAAACAAGGAUUAGAUACCCUUCUAUGUAGUAUAAAAAAAUCUUCACGGGGUAUUAAAGUAUCUACCCAAACUCAAAUAACAUGGCGGUAAUUUUAAAGCUUAGGGGAACUUACCUAAUAAAUGAUAACCACCAAGGUAAAGCUACUUUAAGUAAAAUUUUGUAUGCCGUCGUCUAGAUUAAAUAAUAUAUUUAAUCCUAAGUUAUAUAAUAACCUAUGACAGAUCUUGGUGCAGACCAUCUUAAAGAUUAAGGCGAGUUACAUUAAUAAAUUCUAUUCUAUCGGUAUAUUUAUAAAACCCAAAUAGUUGGACUUAAUAGUAAGGAUUAUAUUUUAAUUAAUUCCUGAAUAUUAAUAAAAUUGUGU
rnacentral:rRNA from 1 species